rnacentral:lncRNA from 1 species
AGCCCUCCUGGAUCGUCCCUUCCAGCUGUUUAUGGAGGUAGAAGGAGACCAGUUCUUCUUCAGUUGGGAAGAAGCGAAAGCCAGGUGGGAACUGACCAGCCAUUGAUGGCAGUAGUAGUAUCCUUUUUCUUUUUUGUUGCUAUAUAAGCUUUGAUGUGUUUCUUCCCUCUGCAUUUUUUAUUCAUUUAUAUACAUGUCCAUGAAACGUUGGGACGUAGGUGGAGGAAAAGCGAAAGCCGAGUAAAAUUGGAAAAAAAUAGCCAUUGUUGUGUUGUGGGUGGAAACUUCCACGCGCUUGUGUUUUUGCUUGCUAGCCUAUGGUGUCGUUCCACAUCGAUUUGAAGUCGUUUUGAACAAGUCAGCCAAUGGAGCAGCAGAUGUGUCCCCAGGCUAUCUCCCCUGCACCCUCAUAAGUUUGAUCAUCAUCUUUAGUUGCACAUCAACGGAGAUCCAGACUUUUUUUAACGAAUAUAAUUUUUUUUUGCAGUGAAGUCAUCGGCCUGCGGAUACUUGCAUCGUGCGGGCCUGGUUUUCGAGCUGGCAUGUCUUCCGGCGGGACCUACUUCGUAUACAUGAAGGGUCAAUGCACGAGGGUUGGCGGUGGACGUUUGGGUCUUUCGUUUUCGAGCAAUUAACAAAAUUAAACCGGUUCCUUGAGGCCUGUUGGUGGUUUUCCCGCAAACACUCUUGCCACAGUAAGUCGUUUACAUUACGUAUUGAACUCCAUUUUGUACUCGUCCUGCUCAUAGUCUCAUAUAUGAAUUAGCUUGCGAAUAAUUCCUCUUACAACUAUA